rnacentral:rRNA from 1 species
AUUGAACGCUAGCGGCAGGCCUAACACAUGCAAGUCGAGCGAGCGGCGGACGGGUGAGUAAUGUCUGGGAAACUGCCUGAUGGAGGGGGAUAACUACUGGAAACGGUAGCUAAUACCGCAUACCAUCAGAUGUGCCCAGAUGGGCUUAGCUAGUAGGUGGGGUAACGUCUCACCUAGGCGACGAUCCCUAGCUGGUCUGAGAGGAUGACCAGCCACACGGGAACUGAGACACGGUCCAGACUCCGACGGGAGGCAGCAGUGGGGAGUAUUGCACAAUGGGCGCAAGCCUGAUGCAGCCAUGCCGCGUGUGUGAAGAAGGCCUUCGGGUUGUAAAGUACUUUCAGCGGGGAGGCGUUACCCGCAGAAGAAGCACCGGCUAACUCCGUGCCAGCAGCCGCGGUAAUUC